UACGGAGGGGGCAAGCGUUAUUCGGAAUUAUUGGGCGUAAAGGGCGCGUAGGCGGCUAGAUGUGUCAAAGGUGAAAUCCCUCGGCUCAACUGAGGAACUGCCUUUGAAACUGUCUGGCUUGAGGCCGGGAGAGGGUAGCGGAAUUCCCAGUGUAGCGGUGAAAUGCGUAGAUAUUGGGAGGAACACCAGUGGCGAAGGCGGAUCUCUGGAGAGUUCCUGACGCUGAGGCACGAAGGCCAGGGGAGCAAACGGG
rnacentral:rRNA from 1 species